CGCGAGGUAGAGCAGUGGUAGCUCGUCGGGCUCAUAACCCGAAGGUCGCUGGUUCGAGUCCAGUCCUCGCUACUA
rnacentral:tRNA from 1 species